UACGAAGGGGGCUAGCGUUGUUCGGAUUUACUGGGCGUAAAGCGCACGUAGGCGGAUAUUUAAGUCAGGGGUGAAAUCCCGGGGCUCAACCCCGGAACUGCCUUUGAUACUAGGUAGCUAGAAUCUUGGAGAGGUCAGUGGAAUUCCGAGUGUAGAGGUGAAAUGCGUAGAUAUUCGGAAGAACACCAGUGGCGAAGGCGACUGACUGGACAAGUAUUGACGCUGAGGUACGAAAGCGUGGGGAGCAAACAGG
rnacentral:rRNA from 1 species